UCCUACGGGAGGCAGCAGUGGGGAAUAUUGCACAAUGGGGGAAACCCUGAUGCAGCCAUGCCGCGUGUGUGAAGAAGGCCUUCGGGUUGUAAAGCACUUUCAGUUGUGAGGAAAAGUUAGUAGUUAAUACCUGCUAGCCGUGACGUUAACAACAGAAGAAGCACCGGCUAACUCCGUGCCAGCAGCCGCGGUAAUACGGAGGGUGCGAGCGUUAAUCGGAAUUACUGGGCGUAAAGCGCACGCAGGCGGUUUGUUAAGCUAGAUGUGAAAGCCCCGGGCUCAACCUGGGAUGGUCAUUUAGAACUGGCAGACUAGAGUCUUGGAGAGGGGAGUGGAAUUCCAGGUGUAGCGGUGAAAUGCGUAGAUAUCUGGAGGAACAUCAGUGGCGAAGGCGACUCCCUGGCCAAAGACUGACGCUCAUGUGCGAAAGUGUGGGUAGCGAACAGGAUUAGAUACCCUGGUACUCCACACCGUAAACGCUGUCUACUAUCUGUGUGUGCCUUUAAGGCGUGCGUAGCGAAACUAACCCGCUAAGUAGACCGCCUGGGGAGUACGGCCACAAUGAUAUAACUCCAAUGAAUUGACGGAGGGGCGAACU
rnacentral:rRNA from 1 species